GUUAACGGCUAAUAUCUGUUUA
rnacentral:snRNA from 1 species